rnacentral:rRNA from 1 species
UACGAAGGGGGCUAGCGUUGCUCGGAAUCACUGGGCGUAAAGGGUGCGUAGGCGGGUCUUUAAGUCAGGGGUGAAAUCCUGGAGCUCAACUCCAGAACUGCCUUUGAUACUGAGGAUCUUGAGUCCGGGAGAGGUGAGUGGAACUGCGAGUGUAGAGGUGAAAUUCGUAGAUAUUCGCAAGAACACCAGUGGCGAAGGCGGCUCACUGGCCCGGUACUGACGCUCAGGUGCGAAAGCGUGGGGAGCAAACAGG